GAACCAACAGAAGUACUUUAGAAAGCAGACAUGAGAUGAACCCCUUAAUCUUCUGAAUUCAGACCGACUUAGUUUAAAGGAAAAAUAUGGCAUUUUUGCUUAUCCAGAAACCAGUGAUUUUUUCUUGAUUUUCUUCACAUCACAAAUCUCAGAAGCUGUGUUUUGUUAGCUCAGUUCCACAGAAUAUUCAUAUAAUUAGGUAACAUCAUUCAAACCCUUAAAGAUGGAGAAAGUGCUGUUUUCCUCCCUCAAGCUACAAGCUAACAGGGCUAUUUGGCAGCAUGCUGGCCACCUUUGGACUUUGCUUCAGCCAAAGGAGAUAUCAAAGACCUGGUUGCCUGGAGAAGAAUAAAGUUAUAUUAUUUAUAUUUUAAAGGCAGCAUCCAGUUUCUAUGACCAGCCGUGCCUUGUUAAGGAAAUCUGUGUCUCAUGCCACUCAGAGAUGGCUCGAAUCGCCUGUCAGGAGACGUCUAGGCAGCCUUGUAAACUCAGAAUGACUUCUCAAAUCCUGCUAGGAUUUCCCAGCGAUGUGCUUUCCUCUGCGCCGAAGCCCUGGGAGUCAUGUCAGCCCAAGAUUCAGUUUUGAGGAAUUUUCAUGCAGAAGAAUCCAAGACAAACAGCAGAUUCUGGGGAGGAAGAUGAAGGGUGGUGCAGAGAGAGUAUAAUAACCAGGUGAACAUUCUGGAAAGACAGUAGCAAGGUUUCAGUUGGACCUCUGGAGUAUCUGGAGAUUAAAGUCAGCAAUGCAGGUGGUCAACCAUGUCAAUAUGAGCUGAGUCCCAAUAAAAACUCUGGACACCAUGGUUCAAGUGAGUUUCCCCAGUCUGCACUAUUCUAUGUGUAUUCUUACACACUGUUGCUGGGAAAAGAUAGCCCUAGCCAAGACACGACUGGAAGAGGACAAAUGGAAAUUCAUCCUUGGAACUUGCCUGGACUCUGCCCUGUGCGCUUCUCCCUGGCUGAUUUUAGU